rnacentral:tRNA from 1 species
AGUGGCAGUGGCUCAGUGGGAAAGUGUGUGGCUUGCAUCGCAGAAGGCUGCAGGUUCAAUCCCGGGUAACUCCACUU